rnacentral:lncRNA from 1 species
AAAAAAAAAAAAAAAAAAAAACAACUUGAGAAUAUGAUGCUUUUUACAGCUUAACAGCGUGAAUGCAUGCGGCUUGGUUUGUGGUGCAUAUGAGCAGAGGAAAUCGGCGAUGAAAAUGCGAGAUUCAACAACAAUACUCGAAAUGAAAAGAAAACCUGAGUAUAAAUCUCAGAUACUACUGCUAUAAUUAACACAAAACAUCUCCCUGAAAACCGUCGGUACAGUUAAAUAAAAUAAUCAACAGAAAAUAAUCUCUCACUCUAUCAGUCAAUUCUUUAUAAAUCUCUCCCUCUCUCUCGUUUGUACGAAUAUAAAACGACAACGUUCAGAAGGCUCCAAUUCUUUCUCACCUGAUUCCUGGUUUGUCUGCUACUGAUAUGUUUAUUCAGAUCUGAUUUGGGUUUUUAAUUAAGAGCAAUGAUUAAUUAAUUAUUUAUCUAACAAAUUGCCCUUUUAAUAUUUCA